CCUACGGGCGGCAGCAGUGAGGAAUAUUGGUCAAUGGACGAGAGUCUGAACCAGCCAAGUAGCGUGAAGGAUGACUGCCCUAUGGGUUGUAAACUUCUUUUAUAUGGGAAUAAAAUGUUCCACGUGUGGGUUUUUGUAUGUACCAUAUGAAUAAGGAUCGGCUAACUCCGUGCCAGCAGCCGCGGUAAUACGGAGGAUCCGAGCGUUAUCCGGAUUUAUUGGGUUUAAAGGGAGCGUAGGUGGAUUGUUAAGUCAGUUGUGAAAGUUUGCGGCUCAACCGUAAAAUUGCAGUUGAAACUGGCAGUCUUGAGUACAGUAGAGGUGGGCGGAAGUCGUGGUGUAGCGGUGAAAUGCUUAGAUAUCACGAAGAACUCCGAUUGCGAAGGCAGCUCACUGGACUGCAACUGACACUGAGGCUCGAAAGUGUGGGUAUCAAACAGGAUGAGAUACCCCUGCAGUC
rnacentral:rRNA from 1 species